UUAGUCUAGGUAGUAACCUUUGUCUGUUGGGAUAUUUGUUAUUUUUCCUGAGCUAUAUUUCUUAUUUUCCAUUUAUGCCUACAAAACUAAGUUUAUUGCUCCUUCCCUCAUUUACAUGUUGGACGAAGCCCCUGAGGGACCAGGGCAGAUUCCCAUUCUACACGUGCACUUGUCAUUGUAUUUUUCAGAGUUCUUUUUGGAGUUGCUGGGCCCUGAGUUCCAGCUCAGUGUUUUGUUCGUGAACACAUAAAUCAGAGUAGUGAAGCCCAGGGAGAGAAAAGCACUGAGACAAUUUCUCUUCUCUGAUCGCCUGUUUGAGAAUCUCAAUAUCUUUUGUGAAAAAGGAGAACGUGGAUGUCACUGGCUUUCACUUCACGUUAUAUCCUUCACCUGUGUAUACACACAGAGACCCACACGUCAAUCCAGCUCCAUGCAGAUGUAUAGACUUCCGUGAUGGGGUGUGUUCAAAGAGGGCAAGGAUGAGGCCAGUGCUGCUUUUGGGGUGAAAGAAGACCAUCAGCAAACCUCAGCCUUGCCGCCAGGACUCCACCGUCUUCUGUCCGAGUCUGCGGGUCCGCAGAUUGCGGCAGGGAGGCCCGGGCACCCGUAGGUGGCGCCCCACGUCCGUGUUUGCGCCCUCGCCCGCGCUCCAGGCGCAGCUAGGAAACCCAGCGCGUCUCCCCGGGUCUUUGGAGCCAGCGCGGAGACCGCAAUUUAAUAAAUAAGCGCGAGUGCCAGCCGCUCCACCAGCCCGAGGUCCAGAGGAGCAGACACACAGACCCGGGCCGGAGGCCCGUCUUGUAGCCCUGCGGGAACCGGACAGUUCCCCAACUGGGGACUCUGGAACCACAGCUCCUAAAUCAUCAAAUUCUCAAGCUUUUUUUCCUCUCUUCGUCCCAGCCAUCCCAGUCAUCGUCGUCGUCUUUUUUUUAAACUUAUUGUUUUUUUCGCCCCUUUCAUUAUGAAAGUGGUCACGCCAUUCAAGAUAAAGACUUGGAGGGAAUUGGGGAAAGAAAAGAAAGAAUCUAAAAGAAGAGAAGCGACCGGUGCUUUUAAGGGUGCCUAAUUUUCAAACGAGACGUCUGGGAGGAUUUUGCUCUGGGCGUUUGGCAGAGCAACUUCGCUGACAGCGGAGCUCGCCCAGCAUGGAUGUUCCAGGUCCACGGGCGCCUUUCUUCUGAGAACGACCCUGGCCUUGACCGUCAGAGCGGGGGACAAAGGCCCGCGGAGGCUGCUGCGGGCCCCGCGCGUUCCUGCGCGCCCUUCCGCGCCGCUCGCGCCCCCGCCGGCCUCCGCCCCCGCGCGCCGCCUCCCACCAGCCCCGAUGCAGGCGCCGGGCCAGGGGGCCCUCGGGCUGCGGCUGACGAUGCCCUGGCGCCGGGGGGCGCUGCGCGAGCCGGGCGGCUGCGGAUCCUGCCUGGGGGUGGCGCUGGCCCUGCUGCUGCUGCUGCUGCCCGCCUGCUGCCCCGUGCGGGCGCAGAACGACACGGAGCCCAUCGUGCUGGAGGGCAAGUGCCUGGUGGUGUGCGACUCCAGCCCGUCGGCGGACGGCGCCGUCACCUCCUCCCUGGGCAUCUCCGUGCGCUCCGGCAGCGCCAAGGUGGCCUUCUCCGCCACGCGGAGCACCAACCACGAGCCGUCCGAGAUGAGCAACCGCACCAUGACCAUCUAUUUCGACCAGGUAUUAGUAAAUAUUGGCAACCACUUUGAUCUUGCCUCCAGUAUAUUUGUAGCACCGAGAAAAGGGAUUUAUAGCUUCAGCUUCCACGUGGUCAAAGUGUACAACAGACAAACCAUCCAGGUCAGUUUAAUGCAGAAUGGCUACCCAGUGAUCUCGGCCUUUGCAGGAGACCAGGAUGUCACCAGAGAAGCUGCUAGCAAUGGCGUGCUGCUGCUCAUGGAAAGGGAAGACAAAGUGCAUCUCAAACUUGAGAGAGGCAACCUCAUGGGGGGUUGGAAAUACUCCACAUUCUCGGGCUUCUUGGUGUUUCCUGUAUAAACACAGAGCCCCCUAGACGGUGGGGGAAUGGCAAUCUGGACCCAGGAAUCCGCCCUUUAAAACACCCCGAACUUGCUGGAAUUGGGACACCUUGUUUCCAACCUCCAUCAGACUGUUGCUGUAGAAGAAUGAUUUCCUCUGAAACCUCCAGUACUUUUGUUUUUGUUUUUUGGAAUAUUGACAAUUCCUCGGGAACCUGGCCUCUAAUUAGUUUUAGAUGACAAGGUCUUAAGGAGAAAUGAAAUUAUCGAUUUGAGCAAUUUGUACCUGUGAUUGUAAAGUCAAUAUCGGAUUUUAUUGUUGGGACCAUGGACCUCUUUUGUUUGUAUGUUAUAUUGUUGUCCCAAUGGAAGGAGAGCUCCUGACUCCAGGAUGGACUGCAGGUUGCAGUCAGGGCUUGAAACAGGAGCCCAACAAAGAACCACCUGAUGGACAGUCCUUGACAUGUGUUCUGUGUGCGUCUGUAUAGCCUUAAGAAAAAGAAUGGCUUCACUUUCAUUCUGUAUUCUUCCCCCCACCGUGUGGAUGGGAGGACUUGGGAGGGGGAUGGGGACAUUGUGAACCUGUCAAGAAGUGCUUUAUCCAGAGAAGCAAGUUUUGCACGAUUGGACUGCAGAUUUUGUUUUGUAUUGUUUGUGUUUCUUCUUGAAUAGCUUUACUUUUCUUUCCACACUCAGCUCUCCCUCCUCAACCCCACUUUUAUUUUUCUUGCUGGGAUUGGGGAGAGAAAAUAUAUGUUGAAUUCCUGGAUAAGACCAAACAAAACAAAACAUUAAAAUACCUGUGUGUUUUGUUUUAGACGAGACCAAACCAAACAAAAAGAAUCUGUUUAUCGAAGUAAAAAUAACACAAUGUACAAUUCGGCUUAUUCUCUCAAAGAGAUUCUAAGAUGCACCUUUAGAACUAUUAAUAGCAACCCGGAUUUUUUUUAAAUUUAUACUUCAGAAUGCUUUAAGAACCUAGUGUUCCUGGGUGGUCCUGAAUCGUAUAAGUUGGGAAUGGAAGCUGUAAUGACCAAGUCCCCUAAACAUACUGCUUCUUUGCCACGUGUGCUGUGACUUCUCAGCGGGUGUUUUAAUUUAUUUGGAUCCACCUCUGAGUGAGCGCACAGUGAUCAGGUGCUUCGAAGCCAACAGACCAGCUCCUCUUCCUCCGGAUCCUCUUUUGAUCUGCCCAGGAAAGGGAUGCACUGACACUCUCCUGCAUGCACCUGGCGAGAAGCCACCUGGAAGUCACUGUGGUUAACGAUAUUGGUGGAGGUACCCCAGGAGCACUGUUAAAAAUCUUCUUGUUUUGGCACCUCUUACAACAACAUUAUUAAGACACAGCUGAGAGUUGAUGGGUGUGUAAUUCAUAUGCCAAGGAAAUGUCACUGAUCCCAAAGCAAUCAAAGAGGAGACCUCAAACCAGAUGUUAAUUUGUUCUUUGUGUAACAAUGUAACCAAAAUAUUGAUGAUAAAAGUCAUAAUUUAAGAUUCAGAAUAAAUGGGUUUGAUGUCUGGCUUGCUCUUAUCCUCCACUUCGUCUCCCAACUCGUAAAAUGUGUGGAAGUAAAGGCCGACUGUCAAGGACCUGGGGAAGAUAAAUCUAUACAGUGCCUCUGUAAAAAAUGUAUUCUCUCACACACACACACCGGUAGUAUGUGCAGACCUGGCUGUGGGUCUGGAUGGAUAUUGUACACUUAGAUAUAUUUCAGUUUAUACAUAUAUAUUCUUUAAAAGGAAGAUCUUGGGGGAGAUAUGUGAAAAAGACAGCUUAAGAAGGUUUUAGGGAUAGGCAGUCUGCUUUUAUCACAUGUCAUCUUUGAUGUGGUGCAAGUUCCAAUCCAGUAUUUUCAUCAGUGAACACUGAUAUAAAAGAAACUAACAUUUUAAGAGCAUAAGUUGUUUCCAAAAAUGUGUAUGUGAGGAUGGAGAGGAAUUAGAUUCCAUUUUUGAAAAAGAAGUUCAGUGGAGAUUAUAUAAAUGACAAAAUGUAUAGUUUGACUAAGGGUCUAAGUUUUACUUUCAGAUGAAGAGCAUAAUGGGAUGCAGAAUUUUAUUUGAAUUAAAAUGCUGUUGCAUUUUGUGAGGGAAAAAAAUCUGUAAAAGAGAAUUAGGGGUACCUUGGCUCUGUGAUUAGGAGACAUACUUCUAAAUAAGAACAGUAUUUAUGAAGGCUGAUAACAUAACGAGAAGGAUGCUGGAAUAUGGUUUAUUGCUCUUGGUUACUUUAGUCCUCUUUCCCCGAUUUCCUUAAACUUAACGUUCAAUUUCAAACAAACAGGAAACCUCGUUAGAGGACAGUAUAAUAUUCCACAGAUUGAAGCAUAUACAAGUACUUGUUACUUUUGUCACUUAAUCAUAUAUAACCCAUGUAUGUUUGUAUUUACACCUUUAUUACAUACAGGUUGUUAUUGGGCUAUCCUGGCUAAUAAACAAGCUAUUAAUUAGACACUUUAAACAAGAGUAUAUUUCAGGCGUUUAUUUUGUAUUAGAUAAAACAUGAUAUCCUGAUUAUUCUACUUUAGUUCAUCUUCUUCUUCUUCGUUUCUUUUCCUUGAGAUGGAUUCCAAAACCUGCCUUAGGAAGCAGCCAUGCUGCUAGUGUCCCUAAAGUGCUUUCUCAUCCCCUGCAGCAUCUGCCAAGGUUCGAUUUGGCUGAGGAUCUAUGAGGCAUCUGAAGCUCCUGUGUUUUGUCUACAAAAAUAUAUAGGUCAGAUCAAAAUGUAAAAUAUGUAUUUUUUUAAUUGGAAAAAAAAGAGAGAGAGGUCUCUGUAACAUCCGAAGGGCCAUCUGAGCCCUGUCUCUGAGUUUCAGUUUUCUCAUCUGGGUGAGGGCAGUAGCCCUGCCAGGUCCCCCACCUCACAGGACAGCUGUGAGGACCGCACAGAAGUGCUUUGAAAGCUGGAGGGCACCAGGAUAACUUGGGGGGGGUGUUCUUGGCAGGGAAGGUGUAUCUGCAAAAGCAUAUUUUUAACAUGCAAUUUAUGAAAAAAAUUAAUAUGACUGACGGACAAUUUUAUGAAAGUAAAUAUCCAUAUUUCUCAAUAGACUAUUAAAACUGUAGCACUGGGUUAGAAUUUUGUCUCAUUUGAUUGUAGGGAUGAUGAUAAUAUCAAAAUCUAUAUGUUGUAAUAUUAACUCAAUUCUCAAUUAUGUUCUUUGGCUGUCCUGUGUGGUUCAAGUUCAGCUCUCUGCUUCCGUGUGGAAUGCCAACAUUUUAUACAAAUAUACAACUGUAAUAUUUUUAACACAAAUAAAAAAAUGAGGUAGUAAUGUUAUGGCAUUAUAACAGUAAAUUGCCUUGGCUGAUAAAUAUUAGCCCUACUAAAUUGUAAAUGCUUAUAAAACAACACAAUUUUUUAAGUUAAAAUAUAUUCUAAUUUAAAUCUCAACCUUGAUGAAUCAGCGCUAGGUCCUGAGAAACUAUGUUUACUAUCUGUAAUUUCUGAGCCUUCAUUGCAUCCUAAUAAUUUUGAUGUAUGUGUUCAUGUAUAUAUGAACUUAUCUACAGUUUUAAAGUGUGUGCUUAUGAUAGCGGCUCAGAGUAAAGGUGAUUAAAAACUUAUUGAAUAUUAGCAUAAAAACAGAAUCCUGUGAGAUUCAUAGAUUUACAUAAUCCUGUGAGAUACAUAGAUUCAUAGGUUUACCUGUUUGAAACUAUUUUAAAGCUAAAUCUAAUUAUAUUAAGCAUCAGAAGAAUUAGAAAAUAUAUAUAUAUAAAGCCAAAAACAUUUGUUGAAUCUUUAACCAUCAAGAAAUUACAGUGGUCACAUAUUAGUAACUAUCACAUAAAUACUGUUUGCUUGUGAAUACAUGAACAUCCCCCUCUGAAUUUUUAGCAUAGAAAUACAAAAUAAACUGCAGGGGUUGGCCACAUACUCCUGGAAUCGAGAAAUAUUUGAGAGGAAAAUUUGAUAAAUUAUUUUAUGCAAACAAAACAAAAGCGUUGGUUGUUCCAGAAUACAUUAGGUGUCGCAAAAGGAACAAAGAAUGUUCUGUCAAUUUGUAGGACCAUAAUUUUGCAAUCUUUUAUAAGGAAAAAUGUUGCAAUGAGAUGUAAUGUUUGUGUGAAUAAAGUAGUGAAUGUGUGUUUAUGUUUUGACAACGUAAGCAGUAUAUAAUAACCUAAUGCACAGAUACACAUGAAUGAAAGGUUCUUUUACAUUAUAUUUAAGAUGGGGAACUCAUAGAAGUAGCUUACAGUGAAUCCUUCUAAAGAUUUAUUGAGUACUCUGUGAAAACACUUGUGAAAAUGUGGAAUGAUUAACUGUAGAACUACAAUGAGUUUUGCCCUUUUGCCUUGCUUAUAUGGAGAUUUAUUUGUCAUUGGGAUUCUAUUUCUAAAGCUGGCACUUUGCUACUAAAAUGGGAUAUUACAAACAUAUUUUUAAAUUUAAUAUCAAAGCCUGUUAAUUCUCAUGAGACUCUUAAAAUUAUUUUCUCUUGACAUUUAAAGAGCAAGCACACCAAAUAUACUGAAGUAUGUUAAAAUACAAAUUUUGCUUUGGUUUUAUCAUUUGAUGCUUUUUGUGCUCUGUACCUUUUUUCCUAUGAUACACUAUGAAGAAGUUAGCUGAUGAUGACCACAAUUAUUAGUCAAAUGUGUUCGUGAAUUUGCCCUGCAUUUUAAAACUUAUUUUUGCAGAGAGAACUCACCAAAAGGCAUAUUUACUGCCUUUGCAGAUGGAUGGCUACAGUUUUUAAAGAUAUUUUAAACGUCUGCUUUGUUACAUAGCUAUCCAUGAUGCGAUUGGACAGAUCCAGUCCUCAAAUCCCCAGUCCCCAAAAGAAGACAUCACAUUAAAAAUCCUUCAUAAGAUCCAAUGGAUGUAAAGUUUAAAAAAUGGGCAUGUAUGCAAGUCUGUAUAAUAGCAGGAUGCUCAAACAUGAAUCUUAAGUAAAUGAGCUUUCCUUGCAUUCCCAGACCCAGUGGGGUAACCUGAAAUUUGUAAGGGCAAAAGCCACGUGAUUUUGCCUCCUACAGAUAAUAGGAGUUCUGUUUUAUCAUCCUAAGUGGGUUUUGCUGUGGAUUUCCAUCACCAGAAUUACUCAAGUGUCUAUAGCAUCAUAAAUCAUCAUCUUCAUCAGCUCGCCCACAUACACUCACUCUGUAGUGUAAAUGAGCUCCUUGACAACUUAAUUUGGAAAAGAAAUCUUCAUUCCCUCUUCUUAAUGCCUACGGCAGGACUCCCCACCGUUAGAAUGCUGCUUUGCACGAGGCCAUCCUAACAAAAUGGAAGCUACUAAUUAAUGAGCCACUACCACUCUUGCAACCUGACUAGUAAUGAAUGUAACUUUUAUUAUUGUUCCCCUGCUUUCUUCAGGAAUGCUGACUUCUUUUGAAUUUGUAUUAGGUUGCAAUAAACACUGAGUUGGAGAAGAAUGUUGGCAAUAACCUGGAAUGUGAAACUCCUGAAUAUUUUGCUGAAGUCUGUUUGAUCUAACUUUAUUCAUGUAAAAAUACUUAUAUUAAUCUCUUAUGUCUUCAAAGUCCUCUAGGAUAUAGGGGCAUUUUCUUCACUUUAUACCAAAAAGAAAUAUUUCCUGUGAUUCUGGGUGCAGCAUUAUUGUGGAACUGACACAAUGAAAAUA